AUUGAACGCUGGCGGCAGGCCUAACACAUGCAAGUCGAGCGGAUGAAGGGAGCUUGCUCCUGGAUUCAGCGGCGGACGGGUGAGUAAUGCCUAGGAAUCUGCCUGGUAGUGGGGGAUAACGUCCGGAAACGGGCGCUAAUACCGCAUACGUCCUGAGGGAGAAAGUGGGGGAUCUUCGGACCUCACGCUAUCAGAUGAGCCUAGGUCGGAUUAGCUAGUUGGUGGGGUAAAGGCCUACCAAGGCGACGAUCCGUAACUGGUCUGAGAGGAUGAUCAGUCACACUGGAACUGAGACACGGUCCAGACUCCUACGGGAGGCAGCAGUGGGGAAUAUUGGACAAGGGGCGAAAGCCUGAUCCAGCCAUGCCGCGUGUGUGAAGAAGGUCUUCGGAUUGUAAAGCACUUUAAGUUGGGAGGAAGGGCAGUAAGUUAAGACCUUGCUGUUUGGACGUUACCAACAGAAUAAGCACCGGCUAACUUCGU
rnacentral:rRNA from 1 species